rnacentral:rRNA from 1 species
UGAACCGGGUUGCGGACAGUGUCUGGUGGGUAGUUUGACUGGGGCGGUCUCCUCCUAAAGAGUAACGGAGGAGCACGAAGGUUGGCUAAUCCUGGUCGGACAUCAGGAGGUUAGUGCAAUGGCAUAAGCCAGCUUGACUGCGAGCGUGACGGCGCGAGCAGGUGCGAAAGCAGGUCAUAGUGAUCCGGUGGUUCUGAAUGGAAGGGCCAUCGCUCAACGGAUAAAAGGUACUCCGGGGAUAACAGGCUGAUACCGCCCAAGAGUUCAUAUCGACGGCGGUGUUUGGCACCUCGAUGUCGGCUCAUCACAUCCUGGGGCUGAAGUAGGUCCCAAGGGUAUGGCUGUUCGCCAUUUAAAGUGGUACGCGAGCUGGGUUUAGAACGUCGUGAGACAGUUCGGUCCCUAUCUGCCGUGGGCGCUGGAAGAUUGAGGGGGGCUGCUCCUAGUACGAGAGGACCGGAGUGGACGCAUCACUGGUGUUCGGGUUGUCAUGCCAAUGGCACUGCCCGGUAGCUACAUGCGGAAGAGAUAAGUGCUGAAAGCAUCUAAGCACGAAACUUGCCCCGAGAUGAAUCUUCCCUGAGCCUUUAAGGCUCCUGAAGGAACGUUGAAG